UAUGUGCGGCCUACGCAGAUGAUCCAAGCCCGAUCGAGAGUCUCUGGACUCGCUACCCUCUUAACACUACCAGUGACCAGCCUACCACUCUAGUUUCUAUAAAUCCUCCUGCCACUGAGGGAGUAUCACCAAUGCUAGCUUGUGGGACUUGGGACCUGUGACAGGAUUAUGCCAACAUGUUGCCUUUAUCUGCAUUUGCACCUGCACCUGCACUUUCACUCUCUCUCUCUCUCUCGUGCAUAAAAAUUUCAAAAAGCAAGCGAGCUUUAAAAAAGCAUGGCAAAAGCUAUAUACAUGGGGAGAUGAGCUGAUUAACAGGUGCAGAUGCAGUUGCAGGUGAAUGCCAUCUUGGCUCCCUUAAAGGGAUCCCAGUAAGUAGGUUUUUGAAGACUGACCAGCUUCUAAUUGUCUCUUACUAUUUUUUUCCUUCCAAAAGGGCUAUCAUGAAGAGUUGUUUGAAGUUUGAACCAAAGAAGCAUAUGCAUGAAGGGAUCUGCCAAGGAGAUAAAGACUUCAUCAGACGACAAGGCUUUUGAGGGUUAUGAAAUGAUCUCUCACGAUAUUUAUGUUUGUUUUUGUGACUCAAAAAGUUCUGUUCGUUGUUUUGACCUAAGAUCCAUCAAGAUAUGUGAGACUCUCACAAAUAGGCUUCUAGAAGAAUAGCAAUAAGGGCAGGUAAUAAAGUUCUUCACAGCCUUCUUUUGGGAAUUCUUAGGGUAAGUAAAAUCAUUCUGGGUAACCUCGAUUACUGAUCGGCCUAAUUCCGAGUACUUUCGCAAUGUUUAUAGGGCACAUCGAUAUAGAAAACUUAUGCAUCCGGUGAAAGUUCUUGGAAAAGAGAUAUAGAUCAUCGUAGUUCCUUCUAAUGAUGCUUGGCGAAAAUAUGAUCAGACACAGGUGCAUGCUGUGGAGGAAAUCCUUGGUGAAACUGCUAUAUAUGUACCAGCACUGACUGUAUCUCUUUUGCACUUGGGCAUAUAAAUGCCCACAAUUACCUAGUAGCUUCUUCUAGAUCUUCUCAAGUUAGGAAGAAAAGUUGGAAAUUAUUCCAACAUAAAAAGGAACCUAGGCUUGAUUAUCACAGUGAUUCAAAAUAUAUCCCCUCCUGCUCCUUCAAAAUGCCGAUUUGACGAUUUCUUUAGCUUAUUAUUAUUAUUAUUAUUAUUA